GCUGGUGGUGGUGGAUGUGUGGGUUGAACAUUACGAGGUUGAAGUCCCCCGUCUUUCAUCCAACAGGUUGCGGCUGACAGACGGUGCAGGCACUUGGAAGGAGCAGUGAGGCCAUCAUGCGGUGGAAACGUAGAACUGCACGGAGUUUUCCUGCUUGGGGAGAUCAUCCUCAUCUUCCUCAUCCUCCUCCCCCCCUGCGGUGCUCGGCGGUGGAGACAAGCUGAGGUGAUUCAAGCACACCGAGGGAGGCUCAACCGUGCCCGAGGGAGUAAACAAACAGGACAUUUAAACACCCCGACGAGGACCUGUCUGCCUUGACUCGCCAAGAUGGGGAACCGGGGCAUGGAGGAUCUGAUCCCCCUGGUGAACCGCAUGCAGGAUGCCUUCGCCGCCAUCGGCCAGAACGCCAACCUGGACCUGCCCCAAAUCGCGGUGGUGGGCGGCCAGAGUGCGGGGAAGAGCUCGGUGCUGGAGAACUUCGUGGGGAAGGAUUUCCUGCCACGUGGUUCUGGCAUUGUGACCCGUCGUCCUUUGGUCCUGCAGCUGAUGAACUGUCCCACAGAGUAUGCCGAGUUCCUCCACUGUAAGGGCAAAAAGUUCACAGAUUUUGAUGAGGUCCGACAGGAGAUUGAGGCGGAGACUGACCGUAUGACAGGUGCCAACAAGGGCAUCUCACCUGUUCCCAUCAACCUGCGUGUAUACUCCCCCCACGUGCUCAACCUGACACUGGUGGACCUUCCGGGCAUGACCAAGGUGCCCGUGGGUGACCAACCAGCCGAUAUUGAGGCUCAGAUUCGGGACAUGCUGAUGCAGUUCGUCACCAAGGACAACUGCCUGAUGCUUGCUGUCUCACCGGCUAACUCAGAUCUGGCCAACUCGGAUGCUUUAAAGAUUGCCAAAGAGGUUGAUCCUCAGGGUAUGAGGACCAUUGGUGUAAUCACCAAACUGGACCUUAUGGACGAGGGGACAGAUGCCAAGGACAUCCUUGAGAAUAAACUGCUUCCGCUCAGAAGAGGUUACAUCGGUGUAGUCAACCGGAGCCAAAAGGACAUAGAUGGAAAGAAAGACAUCACAGCCGCCAUGGCCGCGGAGAGGAAGUUCUUUCUCUCCCACCCUGCCUACAGGCACCUGGCCGAACGUAUGGGCACGGCUUACCUGCAGAAAAUCCUCAAUCAGCAACUCACCAACCACAUCCGGGACACGCUGCCAGCUCUGAGGGCCAAGUUGCAGAGUCAGCUCCUCUCCAUUGAGAAGGAGGUGGAGGAGUACAAGAACUACAGACCCGAUGACCCGUCCCGCAAGACCAAAGCUCUGCUCCAGAUGGUGCAGCAGUUCUCCGUGGACUUUGAAAAGUGCAUUGAGGGCUCCGGGGACCAAAUCGAUACGGCCGAGCUGUCCGGCGGCGCCAAGAUCAACCGCAUCUUCCACGAGCGCUUCCCCUUCGAGCUGGUCAAGAUGGAGUUCGACGAGAAGGAGCUCCGCAAGGAGAUCAGCUAUGCCAUCAAGAACAUUCACGGCAUCAGAACUGGCCUCUUCACCCCGGACAUGGCCUUUGAGACCAUUGUGAAAAGGCAGAUUGGGAAGAUUAAAGAGCCUUGCACCAAAUGUGUGGAUAUGGUCAUGUCUGAGCUAGUCAAUACAGUUAGGCAGUGUACCAAAAAGCUGGCUCAGUACCCCAUGCUGAGAGAAGAGAUGGAGAGAAUUGUGACUCAGCACAUCAGAGACAGGGAGAACCGCACUAAAAGCCAGGUGCUGCUGCUGAUCGACAUUGAGUUGUCGUACAUGAACACCAACCAUGAGGACUUUAUCGGCUUUGCCAAUGCUCAGCAGAGGAUCAGCCAGAUGAAUAAGAAGAAGGCAGCUGGCAAUCAGGAUGAGAUCAUGCCGGAGAGAGGAGUUAACGAUCGGUUCAAGGUGAUCCGAAAGGGAUGGCUGACCAUCAACAACAUUGGUAUCAUGAAGGGCGGAGCCAAGGAGUACUGGUUUGUCCUCACCGCUGAGUCGCUGUCCUGGUACAAGGAUGAUGAGGAGAAGGAAAAGAAGUACAUGCUGCAGGUGGACAACUUGAGACUGCGGGACGUCGAGAAAGGCUUCAUGUCCAGCAAGCACAUUUUCGCCCUCUUCAACACCGAACAAAGGAAUGUGUACAAGGACUACCGUCAGCUGGAGUUGGCCUGUGAGAGUCAGGAAGAUGUGGACGCAUGGAAGGCCUCCUUCCUCCGAGCUGGCGUGUACCCCGAGCGUGUCACGGAGAAGGAAGGCAAGAGCGAUGGAGGUGAUGAAAAUGGCUCGGACAACUUUAUGAACAGCAUGGACCCUCAGCUGGAGCGUCAGGUGGAGACCAUCCGUAACCUGGUGGAUUCCUACAUGGCCAUCGUCAACAAAACAGUCCGCGACUUGAUGCCCAAGACCAUCAUGCAUCUCAUGAUUAAUAACUGUAAAGAGUUCAUAAACGCCGAGCUGCUGGCCCAGUUGUACUCGUGUGGGGACCAGAACACUCUAAUGGAGGAGUCUCAGGAACAGGCGCAGCACCGCGACGAGAUGCUGCGGAUGUACCAUGCCUUGCGUGAGGCGCUCAACAUCAUCGGCGACAUCAGCACGACCACUGUCACCACGGCCAUGCCGCCGCCUGUGGACGACUCCUGGCUGCAGGUUCAGCGAGGUGGAUCCGGAGGAAGGUCUCCAGCCACCAGUCCCACUCCUAACCGCAGGGCGCCGCCAGGCCCCCCAGCGCGCCCCGGUUCCCGUGGGCCUCCUCCCGCUGGUGGACCCCCAGUACCAUCUCGCCCUGGCGCUUCUCCGGACCCUUACAGCGGGCCCCCGCCCACCGUGCCCUCUCGGCCUAACCGUGCACCCCCAAGUGUGCCCAGGGGGAUGUGAAGACACCAGGAUCAGGAGAAUCACUAUCACUGACCAAUGAGGACUAACCUGUUUCUGUCGGAGACCCCCACCUUCUCCGACCCACUAGACCGCCAACCUUCCCCCUUCCUUUCCUCCGCAUCUUUCCCUCCUCCCGGAAAUACGACGCCACGCGGCAACAGCGCCACCUUCCUGCGGCGGCUCCUACCUCUCUGCAAGACCAUCCCCCACCCCCUCGACCCCCAAGUCACCGCCAUCCCUACCCCCAACAAUACCACCUACGACAUACACACCUGCUGCAUGAUAGACCCCUGAAUAUGUACUGUAGAAGUGACAUGUAUACAGUAUAAACAGUACAGUACGUCCAUAUCACUACUGCAAGACACUAAGAAAGGAGCGGAAGGGAAUAUUUAACACUUUUCGGCAUCACUUUCUGCUACACGCUACGUAUGACUAGGGUUCCAAAAUGAUGUUCACUUUCAACGUUGACUGAAAGUGGCGUCAACUACUUGAAAAGUUCAUCAAAUAAGUAUGUGAAAGAAAUAAGAAUAGUAAACAAAUAGGUCCAGUAUAACUAGUUAAGAUUAUAUUUCAUUAUUGUAAAUCAUUCCAAGACAAUUUAAUGGAUUAUUUCAGACUUUAAUGAUUUAUUUAUUGUUACUGACUUUAUAUUUCAUUCAUUUUGACACAAAUGAAACGCUUCAAAAUGGAAAUGUCCAUUCAGCUAAGGUGUUCUCGUUAAAUGGAUAAUUGCAAAACUUCCGUGGACUAUUUUCAGAAAAUGUACCUCGACAUUUCUGCCCCCCACGCGAAUUAUUAGACUUUUUCAUCUAUUUUUCCUACUUUUGGUACUUAAGUAAGCAUUAAGUCGACAUAGUUGAUAGAAUAAGUCAUUAAUAAAAGUAAUGGGAGGUUUUAUUUCACCAUUUGAACGAUAAUAAAUGAUUUCGCAUUUUUGUCAGUUAUUUGAUUCAUCCGAUAAUUACAUUUUUUUUUUUAUUUGGACCCAAAAAUCUCCAUGUAAUCUUGGUUACAAUACAACCCCCCAAAAAAACGAGAGAAAAUUUGAAAAAAUUUAUAUUCCAGGAAGCAUUUUCCAAAAAUAAAUCCACAAUAAAUGAAAGGUUUCUGGGAACGUACCCUCCAAAAAUGUUUUUUUGUUGUUGUAUUAUUACUUUAAAGAAUGUAUUUCAUACAUAAUGAACACACCCUUGUUAAAAUAACUGUUUUUUCUCAUGUAUAAAAAUAUCUAAUUAAACCAUUUAAUAUAAAUAAAUAAAUAGCUGAGUAAUGACGUUGGAAAUGAAGCAAAUCUAUUAGAGGAGAAAAUAUACAAAAAUGUAUGCCAAAAAAUGACUUGAUGUUGGGCCACAUUGGGUGGGGAAAAAAAAAUCUGAGAUUUUGAGAAUAAAGUCGGAAAUUUACGAGAAAAAAGUUGUAAAUUUGCAGGAAUAAAGUCGGACGUUUACGAGAAGAAAAAAAAAACGUAAUAUUACGAGUAUCAAGUUGUACAUUUGCGAGAAUAAAGUUGGAAAAUUGAAAAAAGAAUGAAGAAAAAAAGUCGUAAUAUUACGAGAAAAACGUUGUAACAUUACCUUUGCCCAAGGCCAAAGGUCACAAAACCCCCUUUUCGUAGCUGUUUCAGGCAAUGCCUGUUACGACGGAGUAUUAAAUUAAUCUGAGAUUUUGAGAAUAAAGUUGCAAAUUGACUAGAACAAAGUCGUAAUAUUACGUGUCAUGGUGUCAUACGAGCUCUUCAGGAGGGAAAGAAACUAUCCUCUUGCGUCGGCAAACGUUUGUUUAUAACGUGGCAGCAAAACAGCGCAGUUGAGCACAAACAGAUUAGCAUGUCCAGCCCUUCUCACUUACGCCUUCCUUGCCCCGCCCCCUGCACAUGCCCAAGGACAAAGUCGCACAGGUUUCAUAGCUGUCUCAGGCAAUGCCUGUUGUUUCUCGGAAAUUUGCGACUUUAUUGUCGUAAUAUUAUGAGUUUUUUCCCGUACAUUUACGACUUUAUUGUCGAAAUCUCAGAUUAUUUUAAUACUCCGUCGUAACAGGCAUUGCCUGAGCGCUAUGACAAGGGGGGACUUUUGUGACCUUUGGCCUUGGGCAAAGACAAUACUUCGACUUUUUUCUUGUAAAUUUACGACCUUUUUCUCGUACAUUUCCGACUUUAUUCUCGAAAUGUCCGAUUUUUCUUUUUCAAUGUGGCCCAAACACUCAUUUGUAAUUAAUGUCAACUUUAUGCCACUUUUAGUUUAAUUGACUUGCUGUUUGCCUUAUUUGGUUUGCUCCAGGUGCGUCCACCGAUCAGCCAAUCAGCCGCUUGUCCCUCUUUGGCCCCUCCCCCGCCCACCCCGCC